AGGGUUAUAGUUAAUAAUAACAAUUGAAUUGCAAUCAAUAAGUACUACUCUUAGUUAACCUUA
rnacentral:tRNA from 2 species